rnacentral:rRNA from 1 species
AUUGAACGCUGGCGGCAGGCCUAACACUUGCAAGUCGAACGAGUGGCGGACGGGUGAGCAAUGUCUGGUAAACUGCCUGAUGGAGGGGGAUUACUACUGGAAACGGUAGCUAAUACCGCAUACCAUCGGAUGUGCCCAGAGGGGUUUAGCUAGUAGGUGGGGUAAAGGCUCACCUAGGCGACGAUCCCUAGCUGGUCUGAGAGGAUGACCAGCAACACUGGAACGGGGACACGGUCCAGACUCCUACGGGAGGCAGCAGUGGGGAAGAUUGCACAAUGGGCGCAAGCCUGAUGCAGACAUGCCGCGGGUAUGAAGAAGGCCGUCGGGUUGUAAAAUACUUUCAGCGGGGAGGCGUUACCCGCAGAAGAAGCACCGGCUAACUCCGGGCCAGCAGCCGCGGUAAUAC